UAAUUCAAAUAUCUUAUAAAGAGUAUAAUACUGAAGCUGUUAUUGAGAUAAAUAUAUCUUUGAAUA
rnacentral:tRNA from 1 species